rnacentral:rRNA from 1 species
GACGAACGCUGGCGGCGUGCCUAAUACAUGCAAGUCGAGCGCAGGAAACUGACGGAACUCUUCGGAGGGAAGGCAGUGGAAUGAGCGGCGGACGGGUGAGUAACACGUAAGGAACCUGCCUCAAGGUUUGGGAUAACUCCGAGAAAUCGGAGCUAAUACCGGAUAGUUCAACGGACCGCAUGGUCCGCUGAUGAAAGGCGCUCCGGCGUCACCUUGAGAUGGCCUUGCGGUGCAUUAGCUAGUUGGUGGGGUAACGGCCCACCAAGGCGACGAUGAAUAGACGACCUGAGAGGGUGAGCGGCCACACUGGGGCUGAGACACGGCCCAGACUCCUACGGGAGGCAGCAGUAGGGAAUCUUCCACAAUGGACGAAAGUCUGAUGGAGCAACGCCGCGUGAGUGAUGAAGGUUUUCGGAUCGUAAAACUCUGUUGUAAGGGAAGAACACGUACGAGAGGGAAUGCUCGUACCUUGACGGUACCUUACGAGAAAGCCACGGCUAACUACGUGCCAGCCGCCGCGGUAAUAC